rnacentral:rRNA from 1 species
GUCCUAGCCCUAAAACGAUCAGGACUUGGGGUGCCGCACGUUCGUGCGUCGUCCCGGAGCUAACGCGUUAAGUCCUGCACCUGGGGAGUACGGUCGCAAGACUGAAACUCAAAGGAAUUGACGGGGGCCCGCACAAGCGGUGGAACAUGUGGUUCAAUUCGACGCUACGCGAGGAACCUUACCUGGGCUCGAAAUGCUUCUGACCAGCUGUAGAAAUAUGGCCUUCCCGCAAGGGACAGGAGUAUAGGCGCUGCAUGGCUGUCGU